ensembl:snoRNA
GUUCUCUUUUAAGGCUGACCCAAUGCUUUAAGAGGCUGACACAGAAGGGUAAAGUUAAGUCUCCACAAAAUCCAGGAAAGAGACUGUGAAACUCCUCUUAGUAUCCUGUCUGAAGUCACAGCU